UACGUAGGGUGCGAGCGUUAAUCGGAAUUACUGGGCGUAAAGCGUGCGCAGGCGGUUCGUUGUGUCCGAUGUGAAAGCCCCGGGCUUAACCUGGGAAUGGCAUUGGAAACUGGCGAGCUUGAGUGCGGCAGAGGGGGGUGGAAUUCCGCGUGUAGCAGUGAAAUGCGUAGAGAUGUGGAGGAACACCGAUGGCGAAGGCAGCCUCCUGGGCCAGCACUGACGCUCAUGCACGAAAGCGUGGGGAGCAAACAGG
rnacentral:rRNA from 1 species